GACGAACGCUGGCGGCGUGCUUAACACAUGCAAGUCGAGCGGUGAACCACUUCGGUGGGGAUCAGCGGCGAACGGGUGAGUAACACGUGGGCAACCUGCCCCUAGCACUGGGAAUAACCCCGGGAAACCGGGGCUAAUACCGGAUAUGACUUCGAAUGGCAUCACUCGAAGUGGAAAGAUUUAUCGGCUAGGGAUGGGGCCCGCGGCCUAGUCAGCUUGUUGGUGGGGUAAUGGCCUACCAAGGCGACGACGGGUAGCCGGCCUGAGAGGGCGACCGGCCACACUGGGACUGAGACACGGCCCAGACUCC
rnacentral:rRNA from 1 species